ACUAGGUGGCAGUGUGUGAUUACAUCUGGAAGGACCACGCCAGCAAGUCUGGUGUCUCCAGCUGUGACCUCCAGCACCAAGAUGAAAUCUCUGACUCUGCAGCUACUUCAGGAGACAUCACCGUUCACGUAUCUGUAUACACUAUCCAUCUCAGCGGCUUCCAGGAACUCUACAGACGUUUCCUCAGACUACCUGAUGGGGCUAUCAUUGAGGCAUUUGGUGAUAUUAGUGGAAUAAGUCUUUUGUGUAAUGAAAUGAGCAGAGCCAAGGAGCAUGUAAGUGAAACAGACAGCGUGCUGCAUACAUCUUCACGUAUCAAGCUGAGGGAAAGGAAAAAGAGUACAGCAAGGUGGAAAGGGAAUCCCAUUGUCUCCAGCAAGAGCUAAUUUCAAGAGGAAUGUGUAGUUCACAGAUUUGUUUGCAUCCUGAUUUGCAUCCGUGGUAUGAUUAUUGUCUGACAGGAUUUACAGUUCUGGUGUUCACAUCUCUGUGUGUACAGUGUUGUGGACUUAUUGUCUUGCAAAUACUUCAUGCAUAACUCUUAUUCAACAAGCAUUUCAGGGUGGGGUCCUUGCUGGAUCGGAUCAUAGGUUGGAUCAUACAAAUAUAAUUAUUUAAUCUGAUUUUUUUUUCUUUCAAAUACUGGGACGGUCCUAGAUUUCUUAGAUUUGUUUGUACCUGCUUUUCACUGUGGUCGUGGUGAAAACAUCACUGAUUUGCCUUUCAGGUUUCAUUAAUAAAACAUUGCCAGUGUUUUCAGUAACUGUUCAAAGCACAACAAAACACUGUUGUAAUUACAAGGUUGCAAAGAUGCCCAGAAGAGGAACAAUAAUGACUUCAUGCCAUGAAAUGCCACCAGUUCUGUAGCCAAGUCCCAACAGGCUGCAAAAUUUACAAGGUCCCAGAGGAGAUCAUUUUGCUGAGGUCUUACUAUUGGUGAGAUCUACUUCCCUGGGAGCUAUAGCAGCUUAAAAUAACACAGAGGUUAUCCUUAUGUCUUCUUAUUAGUAUUAAAGUAUUAUUUAUAAGUUCCAAACAAAGUCAGUGCCUCUUCUAUUUGGUGUGAUACAAAUGCAUAAUAAAUGUAGUUCAUGCCCUAAAGGGAUUUCAGCUAGAAGAGAUAGCAGAAGGAUGGGUGGGAAGGGGAACAAAGGCAUGGAAAGGUCAUUUGUCCAAGGUUGAAAAGGUCAGUGGCAGAGGCAGAAAUAGAGAGCAGACCUCCUCGGUCCCGGGCCAGUGCCCUGUCUCUUGGUCCUUCCUGCAUUUGGAUCUUCUCUAUUUUUCAAAUGUAGCAGUAAUUAUGGAAUAGUCUUACCUCCAUGCUAUUUUGAAUCAUUCACGUACAACCCUUUAAAUCAAUUAACAUAGUUGUCAGUAGCAUUUGUUUUAACAAGUACGCUUUUCUGGGAUCCAUUUUUUUCACACUGACAUGGUUAAAAUUUUUCAGACGCAUUUAUCUUUGCAAGAUCUCUCACAAUGUCUUGCACAUUGUUGAUUAAUUUUAAUAGUUACAUCUGUGGUUCUCAUCCAUCUGAAUAAUCACUAAAUGUCAUAAAAUAACCUAGAGAUUUAAAUGUCAGUCCUGAAGACAGUUGUUCUUUGGGUUUAAAGUAACAACUUGGUUCCCUCUUUCUUUUCCUUAUCUUCGAAUUGAUUUGCAUGUGAUGUGUGAGCAUACAGGUGUGUUUGUAUGUGUUACAUCCAGACAGAAAUGAUCUUAAAAAUUCUUGUUGAUAUUUAUAAGCAGUGAUGUAAUUCUGGGAGGGUUCUAUUGCAAUAGCUAUCAUUUGGAUGGCUUCUCUCUGUCAUAGUAGAAAUAAGAAAUAAAAUAGCCUUUUUAAUCUUU